UGAUACAAGACUAGGGCUAUCAAAGGUAAUAACAAGGUGAAGAAAAUCAUGCAAAAGAUAUAUCAUGAUAAUCAAGCAUAAUAAUAGGUAUUAAACUCCAGAAAGGAUCGAAACCAGGUAGGUAGCUCUAGAUAUUAAAAACAGGUGCUUAUUACUUUCCAGGUUGUCACAUGUCACCCAUCACAACUAAGGAGAAACUUUGGGGUGCAUUUAUUCUCAACUCAUCUACGAUGGAGCUCCAGUUUAUUGGUAGUGGAGAUAGCUAGUGUCCAUCCAUAUCCUUGAUCUUCAGCCUGAGCAUGGCAUUUCUGUUCCAAACGAAAUAGGAAAACACAAAGGAUCAGGGAUGAAGAUGAUUAAGCACAAGUGAAACAAGACAAAUUGGCAAGUAAUUUUGCAACAACAUUCAAAUGUUAUGAUCACUCAAAAUGCAUAAUCAUAUAAUUGACCAAGCAAUGAUGACUAGAUGCUUCCAUACCCCAAACAUGUUGUAUUUUUCCUUCUACAACGUGAAAAGUAAAGAACACAAUAGUCAAUGAGGGUAUAAGUCACCAAGGGGGAGUUUUUAGACUGGAUUAUACACUUGACAUGUAGGGAGAAAAUAUCAUGGUGGUAUUUCUAAAUUGAAAAACAUUCAAUAACACAAGUGUGCCGAUGUAAAUUAUGCUAUCCAGAACUGAUAGGUGUGGGAAUAAUGGCAUGCUUAAAUAGACAUACAUGGAAAUUUUAUUCCAUGACCGUAUCCUUUCUCGCAUAAAGAAAAAUUACAGUAUUCUAAAAAAACUGCAAGUAUGUACAUCCAAAGUAACAUGAGUGAGUUUCACCAUUCAAGGUCAGCUUACUUGUGAUAAGAAUUCAUAUAAUGUGAUAUCAAUAUGUGAGAAAUGAAGAAGAUGCAAUACAUGAACUUCCAUUCUUCAACUGCUAAUCCCUCUCCCUAAUUUCCCGGAUAUAUAACCCAAGACAACAACAACAAUCAUGACCACAUAGAUAAAAAACCAACUAUAGAGAAAUCAUGCUACAGGUACAGAAAACAUCUCAAUUGUUGCUUACUAGUCUUCCUAAAAUGGCUCGGGGAAUCAAUUAUGUACCUACCACCAUUCCAUGAAUGUACUACACCAUGACUGUUGAUGCACCAUUAAUUAAAAUAGAUUGAUAGAAUGGCUCGGGGAAUCAAUUAUGUACCUACCACCAUUCCAUGAAUGUACUACCACUAGUCUUCCUAAAACAUCUCAAUAGUUUGGCAAUGCCAUUCAUUCUUAACUACACCGGAUAUGUUGGCGAAUUGAUCUAAGCUACAGAUUUUAGCUUUAAAGCACACAACAAGACAAAGCAACUGAAUAGAAAAUAGAUUGAUAGAAUGUACAAUUCAAAAAAAUUAUAACCUCAACAAGAAAACAGAUUAUAUGAAGGCCAAAAAACAAACCUUUUAGGAUCAUCCUUGAGUGCAGGAAAUAUGGGAGGCCAAAUCAUCAUAAGAGGAUGGAUUUCACAGAAAAAUUUAUCACCGUCUUCCUUCUCAUACACCUUAUGCAUUGUUUUGCGCUUGAUGUCCAAGAGGAAUGUGCAUCGACCCAUGUCCAAGAACACAAACUCGGCAUUGUCUCCUGCCUGGUUUAUCAGCAGAGAAGCAUUGCCAUCUACCAUACUCAAAUCAGCACACAUCUCACGCAAAUAAAUGGUGUCCAUCAGCAACCAUGUGUACCCAUUGUGGAGCCAGAUGCGAAGUUGAAAUUUCUUGACAUGGAUAAGAUAUACACCAGCAACAUCAUCGGCCUGUGACAAUAUGGUGUUUCUCUCACCAUACUCCAUCCCUUCUGGGAGCUCAAUUAUGGAGAAACUUGAGGCCGCCAAAUCCAAGACAAUAAUGUUGCUCCAGCCAGCUGGCACAUAGAUUUUAUUGUUGGACAACACAGAUUUAAGUACUGACCAUGGACGAGGGGGCUGCUGUAUGAUCAAGCUAUGAUUCAUGCGCCAUAUGCCAUGUUUCAAGAUAUAUAUGUAUACCUAUGUUUUCCAUCCGUUGUUUGGUGCAUCAACACAUACAAGUAAGACAAAUCAUCGCCCUCUUCUUUGGACAUGAUUCUAGAGUAAGCAGUACCAUCAAAUAAGUACGGAGAUUGGGGGCGUGGGAACGGUGGGAGGAUGUCCAUGCCUCUCUCAGGACGCACCACGUUGUGCACUGCAAACGUGGUUCCAAUUAUAUCAUGCUGCCUAAUGAGGACGUUGCCAUUCCGGCAACCAAGGAUGUAGGUUGGUACCGAUGGUACUCUCUUAUAGGUGCCCAAUCUAGAGGUUGCGCGACGGAUGACAGCAGUGAGUUCACGGGGCUGAGGCAAUAUUGGGAUGAAGUGCGGGGUGUUCUGACCUUUGUUGGAGUAGAAGCCAAGAAGGCGGGGCGGGUGGAUCUCACAAAAUCGAUGGAGAAAGGCGCAAUCGGAGGCAUGGGCGAGCCAACGUGUGCAUACGAGGGCGGAGUUGAGAAGGGUGGUGGUGAAUACGGUGCGGAGGAGGAUCUCACUGAGGAGGUCGUCGUCCUCGAGCAGCUUGGAUAUCGCCACCAUUGAUGUUGGGGAACGCUGGUCAAACCGGGGUUAGGGGAAAAGAAUUGUAGGUCGAUGCCGGGGACGGGGGAGGCGAAAUUGCCGACGAAACUGUGACACUCAUCCUUUAAUUACUUACGUUUCAGGCAAGUGAAGAAACGGCUUUUGGCACCUACCCCAAAAAUAAAUGACCACCCAGCCUGGCCAAUUAAGCCAAAAAUGGUAACUGUCGCAGUGUGCAGCAACUGUGGCCACCUGCUUUUAUCUUCCUUUUUAUUGCGGUGGCGUGCGUUGCUUGCCUUUGUGAUCCCCACAUCGGUCCACUACGGUCACCAUUCAGGUCCUGACCCAUUCCAAGCUGCUCAUGACAUGACCGUGCUCCCCUUCAAACUAAAAGAGCACACUUUGUUAUGAUAUUUUUAUGUGUUAGCGGUGGGCAUGUACAAUUUGCAAAGUAGAACAAAUGACCAUGGACGUAUUAAAUUACUUAUGUGUUUUAUUUUAUAAUGCAAAAGUUUAUUGUUUCUUACUGGAAAGUUUAUAUUUUCUGAGUAGGAAGUGCGGUCACCGAAAAGAUAUUUGUAUUUGAGUAAAAAAUGUGUGGGUUUGGUAGAAAGUUUAUAGUCCCGAUUAGAAAGUCUAUAUUAAUUGCUGAAUAGAAUAUACUAUGUAAGCCCGUUUGUUUCCGAGUAGAAAGUUUAUCAUUCAAGUAGAAAAUUUGUAAUUAAAAAAUUUGUAAUUUCUAUAUUGCCUGGUAAAAAGGUAUCAGCUUAGUCAAAACUUUAAUGGUUUUGUAUAUAAAGUUUUUCUAAUACGUUUUGAAAGUUUGUGUUUAUAAGUAGAAAUUCUAUAUUGCAUGGCAGGAAGGUAUUAUCUACUUCAAAUGCUCAUGGUCUUUUAGUUAAAUAAAAGUUUUUCCAACAUAAACAUAAAGUUUGUGCUUCUGAAGUAGAAAGUCCAACCAAUAGAGCUCAACAUUAUGUGUAAACUUUCAUCCAACAAACACCAAUAGAGCUCAACACUGAAUAGCAGUUCGGAAGCUUGCAUUUAGAAAAUUUUGUCUUGUACAAACUCUAGAUUAGAGCAGUGGAGAACUACCCAGUCUAAAUAAAUAGAAUCAACAAUGCUUUCAUGUUCAGUGAUAACACAAGAUCAAAAUUGCAUUCAGAAAUUUUGUCUCCACAUGACACUCUUCCACAACAAAACAGCAAAAUUCAGGUGGAAGGAGGCACGGUAGAAUCAAGCUUCAAAGGAGCAACGGCCCAUUCCCCCACCGGUGUCGCUGGUGCGCGUGUCAUCGCCCACAGAGUUCUGCUGCCCCACCGCAUAGUCGGCGUCGUCGGGGAGGCUGCCUUGGCUGACAUCCUUGCCUACCCCAUGAGCAGCGCGCGUAGUCACCCACGCAGUCCUGCACGGUGGACGCCAACCUCGGCGCCGUAGAUGGUCCCUUGUUCUUCUUGCUCCAAUACUCUGUAAUUUCUUUAUAUUGGAUCUCUGGUGAACUUAAAUUUUCCUUUAGGCUGCAACAUUCAUUCAGCUAAGGAACUGAAUAUGAACAACUAACCAAAAGCUAGCCCAAUUGUCUGCACUAGAAUUUGGACGACAUCAAAUACAGACCAAUAUCUUAGAAGGGUGAGCAACGCCAAGGUCGGGCGGGCCAUCGCACUGGGUUGGCAUGGGCAGCCCCAAGGCCGUCGGCUCGUCGUCGCGUCAGAGCAGCCCCGAGGGCGCCAGGUGAUCGUUGCCUGAGGCAGUGCUAAGGCAGCCGGCUCGCCGUUGCGCGCCGAGGCAGCAGGAUCACCGUUGCGUGGUGCAGCACCCGCCAUUGCGUGGGGGCUCGCCUGGUCGCCCUCACAUAGGUCAGAUGAGGCGGCGGCGAGAUUUGGGUUAGAACUUGGAAGGAUAGGAGUGGGGUAGAAUAACUUGACAGGGAGUUACCAAUAUACUGAGAGAGGGGGCUAUGUGAAAAAUGGAGUUAAGUGGAUGGUUAGUACUCCCGCCAUUGAUAUCUGCCGCUCGCUAUUGAUCCAAGGUCCCACGAUGGAAGUUUCUAGAUUUGCACUGAAUUCCAGUUUUCACUUGAUACUUCGCCCAGUUUUAAUGUCUCUAAAUUUAAAAGAGUGCGAGUGAUCUUACAUGCCCAUGGAGGGGCUGAUAUAGCCUAGGGGUUCUUUGACAUAAUUUUUGAUUGAAGAAAAAAGAUUUUUGAUAGAUGACCAAGGCUACCAUUGAAGUAAGGAGUUGGGAGGGUAGAACUAGGUAAUUGUUCGUAUGUUGGCCCAUGUGCUCAUAAUUGGGCUAGGAGGUGGUUUAUCCCAUUUGGAGAGAGAUCCCCUCCACCAUACAUGGGCCUUCUUUAAUUCUUGGACUUGGGCUUCUUUGAUCCAGUGUUUCAUCUUUGUCUUAUUCUCUUAUAUGCGGUCUCCUUUCUUUGAUUUGUUUAUCACUAGUAAGUGUGCAUGUGCAACACAUGUUAUAAUCUUUGCAAGAAAAUUUCUCAUUACCAUCUUAAUAUAUAUGAUUUCCGAUCUUCCUUAUAUACUUCCAAUUUUAAACAAAUGAUGGGCAGGAAUUAUGUUUAAAAAAUAAUUUGUAACACAGGAGAAUACAAUGUGAUAAUCACGCUUCAGUCGUAAGGGGUGAAGAAUGAUUACCAGUAUAUCUACAUCUCAGGACUGAUAAGAAACAACGAAAAUGUAGUCAAGAUGGCCAACAAGCUAACCUUAUUUUCCAUUGAAUCUUUGAUAUAAUCACAUCAAUGCAAACCAAUGACUUUGAGUUUUUCAAAUGGAUGCUUCUCCCUUAGUUCUUUAUGUUAAUUCAAUACUUGAAUUGUUGCCUUUGCUACCUGCACACAAGAGCUGUUUACAUACUGAAGACUGGGGGGAGUAACAUCCUUCUCAAUGUGUUUUUUCCAUACUUCAUACUUGUCAUAACUUUGAUAUAUAAUAAUUGACAGCUUUGCGAAUCUGAGUUUGAUAUUGAAACAAACUUAAAAUUAGCAAGACACACUGGUGUUCAUUUGAAAAGGUUCAUACUUCUUUCCUGGAAAACUUAUUUUCAGAAUAUCAUUUGAUGUCCAUCUCAUUUUUGAGAUGGCAGAUAGGCCCCAUUGCUACAUAGUAGUUUAAAAAGGUUCAAGGGCAAUUAUGCAAGGGAGGGUGGAUUAAACAGAACACCUCCAUUUGUUAUGCUUCCUUUGUCUUCCAAGCUACAUUUACAUACAUAGUACCGAUACGGCUUCUGUCAACCGAAAACAACAUAAUGUUCAGCUGUGUUGCAGAGCAGACCUACACAAACAUCCUGAUGGCUGGAAGAAAAAUUUAAACUGGCCUCCAUGGUUGAUAUGUAUUCUAUUCUCUCUGCAACCAGAAAAUCAUCUGAUCAUGUCAGACACAUUAGAGUAUUGUAAAAAAAGUGCAUGAAAGGACUCAUCAUAUAUGCUUGAACUAAAAGAAAGAAAGUGCAUAAACACAUUGACAGAAAAAUACUAAUCCACCGAACAAGGGACAAGGGAGGAAUGAGGUUGACAGAGGAUCGCUCACCAUUUGUUUCCUGGUAGAUCCAUGCACACAUAAGAAAAAAAAAAGAAUGAAUUUCACAGAAAAAAAGAAAUAAAACAAGUAAGAGAAUCUAGAAUAGUUGGAACACCACUAAACACCAAAUUAUCAAAGAAAAAAAUGAUAUUGUGAUCUAUACCUCAAACGCCUUGAACUUAUGAGUCAUGACACACACUGCCUGUUCCCUGUUUGGUCUUCUGCUUCAAUAAGAUUGGUGACUAAUCCUAUUGGGUCUUCCACAGUACCAACAGUUCCUAAUACGUCUGUCUGCUCUCUCGAUACUCUCUAGCUGCAAAGCCUCGUGCGUAUGAGGUAUGAGAUGAUCAACACUUGCUAAUAUGAUGGCAGUGAAUUAGAUGAUUUUUUUCGCGAAUACGCAAAGCUUGCGUAUCAUUCAUAGACAUACAAGAGGAAAAGAGAGAACACCACACAAGGUGUGGGAAAGACACAAGAAGGGAUAUAACACAGCAUAGACUCUCCUAGCUCGAAGUCUAGCCUGCGGCAAAGAGACGAGAUACGCCAGGAGGAGCAGCCCGGACCAGCAAAGCAUCCGAAGUCUUCAAAUCCAACACCGAGCACACCACGAGCAACAAGACACUGCCUUCAUGAAGGAUACAACGCCGAGCCGCCGUCGCUGUCCGAUCUAGCCGACUAGAUCUAGGGUUUCCCCCGAUACUCGCGUAGGGGCGCAGAGAAGAGGCCAUGGUGGCACCUCCAAGAAGGAAACGGCACCCGCAAGUGUCGUUGCCACCAGCAUCGGCAAGCCGAGCAAGGCUUUCGCCCGGCCAAAUUCCGCACAAUCACAAAGGUUGGUGGAUCAAGAUUCAGAGACAAGGAAACCAAAGCAGGCCGAGACCACAACCACCAGAAGGAGAGCCGCGCCAAUCACCGGGAAGAUGACAUUGGGCACUGCUGGACACACCACCACACACAACCAUCACGGGGCUCGAUCCACCGCUCAUGGCACACCACAACCAGCACAAGUGACAUGCAUGGCUGGGAGCCUAGGACGAGGCUCCGCUGUCGGGAAGACGCCAGGUAGCCCAAGGCCAGGGGGAAUCAGCCCCACCCCGGGCAACCACGGAGGAGGCACGGCCAAUACAAGGUCCUGCGGCCAGGAGGACGCCAGACAACCAAGGAUAGGGGGGUCGGGUGGUAGGGAGAGGUGCUGCAUAGGGGAGGGCAGGGGAGGGGGGACGCGCCGCGCCAGGGCAUCACUGGUGACGACGGCUGGGAGGGACUGCGGCGGCGGCGCCAGAUCUGACGUUGGAGGGGCAGCGCCGGGGCGGCCAACCAGGAGGCGCGGGGAGGAGGGAUUAUUGGAUCCACCACCAGGAGGAGCGUCGCCGGCCACCAGGCCGCCGAGAAGGGCGCCGACGAGCCACCCGCAGGCGGGCCGCCAGCCGCGGGGCCCUGCGGGAGGAGAGGAGAGCCGCGCCACAGGGGGGAAGGCCCCGCCGCCGCCGCUACGACGCGGGCUUCGCCCGGUGGUGGCCUCCAGCGGCAGGGAGGGGAUUAGCUGGAGAUGGGGAGCCGACGUCGGCGCCAUUGGGGGCUGCCGCCCGUGUCGCCUACCCUAGGCGACGCGGGGGCCGAGCGGGAGGGUCUCUUUGCACGUUCGAAAAUCUAAUCAAGCCACUGUACGCAUGUGGUCGCACUAGUAGAAAACGGAGCUUUAAAACCGGUUCGUAAGGGCCUUUAGUGCCGGUUCCAUAACCGGCACUAAUUGGUGGGCACUAAAGCCCCCCCCCUUUAGUACCGGUUCGGCACGAACCGGCGCUAAAGUGCCACCACGUGGCGUGAGCUCGCGCCCUGGUAUUACCAACCGGUACUAAAAGUUUUUUUUGAAUUUUUUUUUUGAAAAUUUUGGAUUUUUUUUCGAUUUUUUUUUCAAUUUUUAUUUUUUCUGAAUUAUUUGGUGAUCUAGUCUCUAAUCACCUCUCUUAACUGCUCAAGUGUGGAUCACUCAUUCCAAAUCAUAUAACUUCCCGACCGGUCACCCAUCCCUCUCACUACUCCAGCCCGAGCACGCUUAACUUUCGGGUUCUAUUCUCCUUUGUUUCCAAGUCUGCACUUGUUGUUUUCCUGACAAUAGUAAGAUGCCAAUCCUAUUAACCCUCAGGAGUUUAGCUUGAGCAUGAAGUCACACAUUUCACUGUUUGAGUUUGAAACUAUUAUUCUAAAAAACAGUAAUUAUUUAGUAACACUAAUAUUUUUGAGUAAGUUUGACCAUAGUUUGACCACAGUUUGACCAUAGUUUGACCAGAUUUGACCAAAAUUCAAAAAAUUAAAAUAAUUAUUUAGUAACACUAAUAUUCUUGAAUAAUUAUGUGUAACAUUAAUACUUCUUGAAUAAGUAGUUUGAUCAGAUUUAACAAUUUUUUUUAAAAAAACUUAAAUUUGACCAUAUCUUUUUUUCUUUUUGGAAUUUGAGGAUUCUAAAGUAUUGCAAACAGGCCAUAGGCGGUCUCCAUCGGAUGCGAAUUUUCAUGCUGAAUUUUUUGAUAUAUUACACGUUUUUUUCCGACAUCGUAUGCAAAAGUUAUAGCCGUUUUACAUUUUCCCUACAUUUUUUGCAAAACAUGUCCAAAUUUAAGUUUUCAAAUUUUCCUAACUAGUAGAUGUAGUAAUAUAACUACCUCUCGAAGGAUUUUAUUUUUUGAAGUNNNNNNNNNNNNNNNNNNNNNNNNNNNNNNNNNNNNNNNNNNNNNNNNNNNNNNNNNNNNNNNNNNNNNNNNNNNNNNNNNNNNNNNNNNNNNNNNNNNNNNNNNNNNNNNNNNNNNNNNNNNNNNNNNNNNNNNNNNNNNNNNNNNNNNNNNNNNNNNNNNNNNNNNNNNNNNNNNNNNNNNNNNNNNNNNNNNNNNNNNNNNNNNNNNNNNNNNNNNNNNNNNNNNNNNNNNNNNNNNNNNNNNNNNNNNNNNNNNNNNNNNNNNNNNNNNNNNNNNNNNNNNNNNNNNNNNNNNNNNNNNNNNNNNNNNNNNNNNNNNNNNNNNNNNNNNNNNNNNNNNNNNNNNNNNNNNNNNNNNNNNNNNNNNNNNNNNNNNNNNNNNNNNNNNNNNNNNNNNNNNNNGUGGCACAAACCGGUACUAAAGGUUAGCCCUUUAGUACCGGUUUGUGGCACGAACCGGUACUAAAGGUGAUCAUGGGGCCCCAGCCUGACGCUAGCCUGCCAUCACCCCUUUAGUACAGGUUUGUGACACGAACCGGUACUAAAGGUUCAACACGAACCGGCAUUAAUGCAUAGUCGUUCGAACCGGCACUGAUGGUACCAGUAGUGUCGGCUCAAAUUCAAACCGGCACUAAUGUGCUUCACGUUUGACCCAUUUUUCUACUAGUGUCGUGGGACGGCAACCUUGGUCUUCGAUGAUGUCUCCGAUGAGAGGGCGAGCGGAGUCUGCUCAUUGGCCUCCGUGAGGACGCCGUUGUGGUGUUGUAGACCUCUCAGUCAGCAGUUGGAAGCCGUCUCAGAGCGAGGUGAUGUCCCGCAGAUCAAAGCAGUUACUAUUGGAAAUAUGAGCAAAUUACUACGAGAUUUAAUCCGAAUAAACAGAAGAUAAAUCAUGACCACAGCACAGAGAUUAAACUAAUCAUGCGAACUAGCAUAGCACAUGAACAUAUCACAUCUAGGGCACAUACUAGAAGCAUGAAUUCUACCACGAUCUCGAACAGGAAGGAUAGAAUCACAUACGGUGCAGCGGGUGCAGCACCGCCGGCGUUGACGUUGUCACCCAUGUCGUCGAGGACGAGGUUGCCGAGGUCAGGGAAGAAGUCAUCGUUUGCGAAGUCGUUCCGAGGCCUGCUGUCCCUUCUCGCGUACAGGAUCACGAGAGGCGGGGUUCCGGAGGCCUGCUGUCCCUUCUCGCGAUGCACGCCGGAAGGAGGGAUGGAGAAGACUUGCUUGGCGGUGCAAUGAUCUGGAAUGGUGGUGAAAAACCAUACGAAGCGGCGGCGGCUAGGGUAGACGUCUACCUGACUAUAUAGUGCGGGCCGGGUAGGUCGUGGGAGUAAACCCCACGUCCGAGUCGUCAUGAUCCAAAAGAAUCGGAAACGGUUCAGUAAUUAACGCGUCCGUUAAUUAUUAAUUAAUGACUCAUUAAUUUUCCCAUGCAGCAAAAAUAUAGACAACAUGCAUAGCUCUGUCCUCGGCUCGGCUCAAUCCCGCAACCCGCGGUGCAUUGUGACGAGGCGUGGCGUGGCGAGGCAAGCGAGGAGGAGGAGCGCGCGUGUAGGUCUCCUCUUCUCAUGCUCAUACAAGUGGUAGAAGAGCUCACCUUAUAAAGAGGUGCAACUCUCUCUCAACUUCCGGGGUGUGUCUAAACAUUAGCCUCACUCACUCCACUCACAUGUGUGCAUGAAUGGGCCAAGAGAAUUUCAGAAUUUUAGUUGGGCUCUGGGCCAAAGGCCUACUAGCAAAAUUUCAACAAUCCCCCACAAAGUCUCAUUGGCACAUCUCAUCAUUUAGUUCCAAAACAUUGUUUUAUAUAUCGGUGCUUAGUGGAGACUGUGAAGUUAAACUUCCACUUAGAAAUUUAUGCUACACUAGAUCACAACUUGAAUAGUGGACUAUGCCUUGAACUACAAGUUUUCUGUGAAACUAGUUUCACACAAAUUCUUGACCGAUACUGGGCCGCCGCAAGGCUUCCCCGCGGGUGGAGCGUAUACGUCAUACUCCAGGGCCUUUCAUGAAUUUAUUAGAGAACACCCAAUUCUCACAGACUGCGACGUUAACAGUCAAAUUCAUAUAGGUGUGUUCCUCAGAAGAUGUUCUGCAGGACAACAUCUCUGCUUACCCGAAUAAGCCACUUGGAACACAUUAAGUAUCAACCUGCCAUGCAGACCAGGAGAGUAUUGCAUCUUCACGGAGUGGAAUAAUUAAUAUAGGGAUACUCUCCUCCCAGCUGACCAACAGCUUGUCUCCUACUUCUACUUCACGGGAUCUCCGAUCACAUAGAGUGGGUUACCACUAUGGACAACUCAUGCGGUGGGUCUCAAACCCAUCUCCAUCGAUGCAUUUUCUAUCACAUUACGUGAUAGACCCUUUGUGAAGGGAUCUGCCAAGUUUUUCGACGUUUGGAUAUAAUCCAACGUAAUAACUCCGGAGUUCCUCAAUUUUCUGACAGAUUUUAGUCUCCUCUUCACAUGCCUUGAGGACUUCAUAUUGUCCUUAGAACUGUUUGUCUUGACGAUCACAGUUUCAUUAUCACAGUUCAUCAGGGUAGGGGGUAUUGGUUUUUCAACCAUAGGUAAGUCCAUUAAGAGUUCACGAAGCCACUCUGCUUCAACAGUGGCAGUGUCUAAUGCUGUGAGUUCUGCUUCCAUAGUUGACCUCGUUAAGAUGGUCUACUUGCAAGACUUCCAGGAAACAGCGCCACCACCAAGUGUAAAAACAUAACCACUUGUGGUCUUAAUCUCAUCAGCAUCAGAUAUCCAGUUUGAGCCACUAUAACCCUCCAGUACCCUUGGAUACCCGGUGUAGUGAAUCCCAUAGCUCGUGGUGCCUUUCAAAUAGCGCAUAACUCUCUCAAGUGCAUUCCAAUGAUCAUCUCCCGGUUUUGACACAAACCGACUCAGCUUGCUCACAGCAAAAGAGAUGUUAGGCCUCGUGGCACUCGCCAAAUACAUAAGCGAGCCAAUAAUCUGAGAAUACCUCAGUUGAUCUCUAGCAAUCCGUCGAUUCUUUCGAAGCAACACACUAGCAUCAUAUGGAGUUGGAGAAGGCGUGCAGUCGCUAUACCCAAAACGACUCAAGACCUUUUCCACAUAAUGAGACUGAAGCAGUGUGAUCCCACCAUCCUCAUCUCUCAACAGCUUGAUGUUUAAGAUAACAUCAGCUACUCCUAGAUCCUUCAUCUCAAAACAGCGAGAUAAGAAAUCCGUAACCUCCUUGAUUAAAUCAAGUUUGGUUCCAAAGAUCAAUAUGUCGUCAACAUACAGACAAAGAAUAACUCCUUCGCCCCCACCAUAGCGGUAGUACACGCACUUGUCACCAUCGUUUACUACAAAGCCGGCAGCAGUUAAUGUUCUUUCGAACUUCUGGUGCCACUCCUUAGGAGCUUGUUUAAGGCCAUAUAAAAACUUUAAUAACUUGCACACCUUUCCUUCCUGACCUGGUACUACAAAACCAUCUGGUUGAUCCAUGUAAAUUUCCUCCUUCAACUCUCCAUUGAGGAAAGCCGUCUUAACGUCCAUUUGAUGAACGAGAAGACCAUGUGAGGCAGCCAGUGAUAGUAGCACCCGAAUUGUGGUCAGUCUAGCCACGGGUGAGUAAGUAUCAAAGAAGUCUUCACCUUCUUUCUGGGUAUAACCCUUGGCCACAAGCCGUGCCUUGUACUUUUCAAUCGUACCAUCAGGUCUAAGCUUCUUCUUAAACACCCACUUACAUCCUACAUGUUUGCACCCAUAAGGACGGUCAGUGAUCUCCCAGGUACCGUUAGCUAAGAUGGAAUCCAUCUCGCUACGUACAGCUUUCUUCUAGUAGUCAGCAUCAGGAGAUGCAUAGGCUUCUGAAAUAGUUCUGGGUGUGUCAUCCACGAGGUACACAAUGAAAUCAUCACCAAAAGACUUUGCAGUCCUCUGUCUCUUACUCCUCACAGGAGUUCCAUUGUUACCCUCAACCGGAUUCUCAAUGUGUUCCAUCGCAAUGGUGGGUUCAGGAAUUACAACGAAUUCCUCACUAGAUGGAGUAGGUAUCUCCUGAUUUGAUGAACUCGACAUAUCCUUCAUAGGAAAUAUGUCCUCAAAGAAAGUUGCAUCAUUUGAUUCCAUAAUCGUACCAACAUGCAUGUCGGAUACCUCAGAUUUUAUUAUCAAAAAUCUAUAGCCGAUGCUAUGAAAAGCAUAGCCCAGAAGAACAUAAUCCACGGUUUUUGGUGCAAGCUUGCGCUUCUUGGGAAUUGGUAUAUUGACUUUCGCCAAACAACCCCAAGUACGUAGGUAAGAGAGUUUUAACCUUUUCCUUUCCCAUUCCUCAAAUGGAGUCAUGGUCUUAUGCUUUGUGGGAACUCGGUUUAGAACAUGACACGCAGUCAUUAGCGCCUCCCCCCACCAUUCCUUGGAUAGACCCGAAGUGUCUAACAUGGUGUUAACCAUAUCAGUUAGAGUUCGGUUCUUUCUUUCAGCUACCCCAUUUGACUAGGGUGAGAAGGGAGGCGUCCUCUCAUGGAUUAUACCAUGUUCCGCACAAAACAGAUCAAAUUCAUUGGAAAAAUACUCUCCACCACGAUCGGACCUAAGCCGUUUAAUUUUUUGAACAAGUUGGUUCUCUGCCUCAGCUUUAUAAUUUUUAAAGAAAGUCAAAGCCUCAUCUUUUGAUUUCAGAAGAUACACAUAACAAUAUCUAGUGGAGUCAUCAAUCAACGUCAUGAAGUAUCUCUUUCCACCUUUUGUCAACACGCCAUUCAUCUCACAAAGAUCAGAAUGUAUAAGCUCUAGUGGCGCCAAGUCUCUUGCCUCUGCAGUCUUAUGGGACUUGCGAGGUUGCUUAGCUUGCACACAUACUUGCCACUUGGAGCCUUUGACAGUAGAGAUUUUCAGAAUUAAAUUCAUAUUGGCUAACCGCGUCAUGCAACCAAAGUUAAUAUGACAGAGUCAUGAAUGCCAAAUAUCAGACUCAUUAUUGUGGCAAACAUUAUUAAUAACUUUAGUGCAAAUAUCUGACAAAGAUAGGCGAAACAAGCCUCCGCACUCAUAGCCUUUUCUAACAAAUUGUCCAACUUAGAAAUUACAACUUUAUUGGAUUCGAAAACCAACUUAAAACCAUCUCGACAUAAACGGGAACCGCUAACGAGAUUUUUAUUGAUGGACGGCACAUGAUGAACGUUCUUCAGACGCACAGUCUUCCCCGAAGUAAACUUCAGAUCAACCGUACCAACACCUCGAACGAUGGCAUGUGACCCGUUUCCCAUCAGCACGGGUGAAGUCCCUGUUGCCCUGAUUCCUUCAUAUCAGUAUCACCGAUGACAACAUUAGCAGACUUGCCGCUCUUCUCAUGUUCGCGCUCCUCAAAGCAGUUAGGACACUUCGGAGCCCAGUGAUUAGGAUCACCGCAGACAUGGCAAAGUCCCUUCCCCUUCUUAUGAGAAUUCUUCUUGAAGUUGGUAGAAUAUGAUGGCUUGUUCUUUGUAUCAAACUUGCCUUUACCCUGAGUUUUGUUCUUAUUGUUUUUGAACUUGUUGGGCUGGGAGUUCUUCUUCUGUACCAUGUGGGCACUAGAACCUCCCUCAGCAACUCGAGCACGUGUGUCCUUUGCUCUCGCCUUCUCUUCAACAUCAAGAGUACCAAUGAGAUCCGCAAUAGAAAACUCCUGUCUCUUGUGUUUCAGGGAAGUAGCAAAAUUGUUCCACGAAGGUGGAAGCUUGGCAAUGAUGCCUCCGGCAACAAAUUUGUCCAGCAACACACACUUGAAGUACUCCAAUUCUUUUGCGAGCGACUGUAUCUCAUGAGCCUGCUGUACAACAGGGCGCUCAUCAGUCAUCUUGUAGUCAUAGAAUUGCUCCAUGACGUACAACUCGCUGCCGGCGUCCGAGGCACCAAACUUGGCCUCCAGCGCAACCCACAUGUCCUUGCCGUUGUCAAACGACAUAUACGAAUCCAUAAUGGAGUCAUCAAGAACACUCAGAAGAGCGCCUUUAAAGAGGGUAUCGAUCUUCUCAAAAGCUUCUAGCUGUGCUGGAUUAAGAUCGCCCUCAGGCUUGCCCUUGGUGGCACAUAGCAGCCCAUGGUCUGAAACUAGUAGACUGCUCUCAUGCGCCACCUUUUAUAUUGCGCCCCCUUAAAGGCAGGCGGCUUCAGAUGCGCAGCAAAACCACUCGGAAUAAAUUGCGUAUAAUCAGGUUUUUGGAUUGUUGGAAAUAUGAGGAAAUUACUAUGAGAUUUAAUUCGAAUAAACAGAAGAUAAAUCAUGACCACAGCAGCAGAGAUUAAACUAAGCAUGCGAACUAGCAUAGCAGAUGGACAUAUCACAUCUAGGGCAUAUACUAGAAGCAUGAAUUCUACCACGAUCUCGAACAGGAAGGAUAUAAUCACAUAUGGUGCAGCGGGUGCAGCACCGCCGGCGUUGACGUUGUCGCCCAUGUCGUCGAGGACGAGGUUGCCGAGGUCGGGGAAGAAUUCGUCGUUCGCGAAGUCGUCGCUGUCAGCAGUCGCGCGAGUGCACUCCCCAAAAACCUGAUCGCCCCUCUCCCGUACAGGAUCACGAGAGGCGGGGUUCUGGAGGCCUGCUGUCCCUUCUCGCGGUGCACGCCGGAAGGAGGGAUGGAGAAGACUUGCUUGGCGGCGCAAUGAUCUGGAACGGUGGUGAGAAACCAUACGAAGCGGCGGCGGCUAGGGUAGACGUCUGCCUGACUAUAUAGUGCGGGCCGGGUAGGUCGUGGGAGUAAACCCCACGUCCGAGUCGUCACGAUCCAAAAGAAUCGGAAACGGUUCAGUAAUUAACGCGUUCGUUAAUUAUUAAUUAAUGACUCAUUAAUUUUCCCAUGCAGCAAAAAUAUAGACAACGUGCAUAGCUCUGUCCUCGGCUCGGCUCAAUUCCGCAACCCACGGCGCGUCGUGACGAGGCGAGGCGUGGCGUGGCGAGGAGGAGGAGCGCGCGUGUAGGUCUCCUCUUCUCAUGCUCAUACAAGUGGUAGAAGAGUCACCUUAUAAAGAGGUGCAACUCUCUCUCAACUUCCGGGGUGGGACUAAACUUUAGCCUCACUCACUCCACUCACAUGUGUGCAUGAAUGGGCCAAGAGAAUUUCAGAAUUUUAGUUGGGCUUUGGGCCAAAGGCCUACUAGCAAAAUUCCAACAGUUACCGCCCCCGUAGGCUCGCGUCGGCGUUGUGCGCCGCCUCUCGUCAGAUACUGUCGCCACCGGAGGUUCACCAUCGAGGCCGCCGGCUGCGCCCCUGCCCUUCCUCAUCUCCCUUCCUUAUGUUCUUCUCUAGCUCCUCACCUUCGAAGCUCUCUCUCCCUAGAACCGCAGUUAGCCAGGGAGGAGGUCAGCUGCCACCAGCGUCCCUCCGACUCGCCGGAGCCGCCCGUCGUCGACCCAUCCGGCUACCAUCCUCCUGAUCCAUGCCAGCCCCGCUGGAACUGCCCGUUGUUGACCAUCCGGCUGUCAUCCGCCAGAUCCACGCCAGCCCCGCCGGACUCCAUGCUCAUCACCGUUCCCUGCAUCGAGCUGCCGCCGCCGCUCGGCGUUGAUCGCAUCGCUCGCUUGGUAGUAUCUGUUUGCGAUCGGGUUGUGUUUUUUUCCUUGGAUUAAGGAAGCGAUGUAUUGGGGUGGACGCGGGGCGCGGAACGAUUUGGUUCGGCAGAGUUUUGGGCCACCAGGGUAAUUUGCUAAACGCACUUUUGGAUGAGGGUUAGUAUAAUCUUGACGAUUAGAUCAAGUUAAGUGGUCCUAAUUGUAAGGUUGUAAUUGAUCUAUGUUGUUACAUGUACGUUAGGCUGGGUGCACUUAGUGAUUAAUAUGUUUGAUUGUUUAAUAGUAAUAGAGAUGAGGGUUUAAUUGGACUUUUGUUGACCGAAGUGGUUUGCUUGAACGCAUAGAAGCUUGCUUGGACUAUUUUGACCAUCUUGACUUAUGUUGACUAUCCUUCACUUCCCUUUACUAGCCUUGACUUCAGUUGAAUGGCCAGUUUCGGUGAUUGCCUAGGUGGCAUUCCACAUUUCAUGUAGGAUAGCGGAUGGGACUUUACUGCUCAUAGUGAGAGUAAUAUAAGUAGUAACAUGCAUGCCACAUAGGCAAAAAAUAUGACAUGGCAAGUAAUUAAUAAGGAGAAAUGCAAAUGGACUAACAUAAUAUGUUAUCAUCACAUAGCGAUUCUCAAUGUAAAAUGGGUCUACAAAGUAAUAAAUGAAGCUCUGAAUGUUAUCACAUCUAUGACACUAUUAGGAUUAAUUUAAUUCUGUAAUUAAGGAUCGUCCUCCCUUGUACAACCGUUCGUGUGGAUUGCUGCCAACCGAUGCGGCGGUUCUCCCACGCCCCCAUGACGGACGCGUCCUUUCAAUCGCGUCUGUUCUGCUUGUAUAUAAACUGUGAUCCUUAAUGGAAUAGUAACAGUUCGAUCAAUUCGUUCUUUCACAUGUUAUCAGCACUUCGACUCUGUCCGAGAGCACGAAUAGGCAAAUCACGCCGGCGACAGUCGCCGGAGAAAGAAAACUGAAGGGAAGAAAGGAGAAGAUGAGAGGAUGCCUCGUGGUAUCUUGUCCUUCCUGCACCUUGUUCGUAAUGGCGGUGGUCCUCGGACUGGCGAAUGGUCGCGCCCAGGACACACCUUCCGGGUGGAUCUUCUUCAGAGGAGGAUGAUGCUGCGCCGGGGCCGUCGACCUCGCGCCGGUGAGGUAGUCGCUGGUGGCGAAGGUUGGUGGUGGUGGUGCCUCUAGCCGGCGCUGUAGUUUGGAUUGGGGAUGAUUUAGUCAAUCGGAACGAGAUGCCAGUUGCCUCCCUUAUCCAUCCAACACUGCGUACAAGCUGUGGUAUAGCCAUCCCACUAGGCCUAGUUGGCUAGUUGGAAGCGUUUUUCUCUCGUAAGGCGACUCUGAAGGCGAUCUAGGGUUUUGACCGCCGUCGCCGCCGAGGCGGCGGCGGCUGCCUAUCCUGUGUCUGCCUGACGGGGAUCAUGGGUCUCUCUUGGGAAGCUAGCUUGAUGCCAUGACGAGAGGAGGAGAAGAGAUGAGUUAGGUGGGCUGUUGUUGUCCAUGGUCUGGUUUCUCUCGGCUCUUUUGAAGGAUUAGGCGAUUAGUAAAUUUUGACGUCCCAGCACGCUCUAGCACAGCUGGUUUUUCUGUCCCGGCAUAGCCCCGUUGCUUUGCAAGGUGGUGUGAUCUGUUUUCUGUCCCUCUGUAUUUGUCUGUAUACAGUAGGUUUUCUAGAUGCAGCUUGUCCGCGCAGUCGACGGAAGCGAUGUUCAAGGAGGAUCGACGCACGCAAUGAAGCUAAUAAGUUGGAACUGUCGGGGCUCGAGGAGGCCUCGACAGUCCGGUCGCUUCUGGAUAUCCAGAGGCGGCAUAUGCCAAAUGCGUUUUUUCUGUCUGAGACGCACCUAGAUGAAUCAAGGGCAGAAACACUGAUGAGGAAACUAGGCAUGGAUGAGAGGAUUGUUGCACCAAGUCGUGAUGGAAGGAAGGGUGAGCUGUUGUUAGUCUAGAAGGAGGUUAAUUAGGAUCUACUCCCGAACUACCACCAUUGAUGGUAUUGAUGUUGAAGUUCAUGAAAGCAAUGGUGAUGUUUGGAGGCUAACUGGCAUCUAUGGUGAGCCAAGUUGGGAGAAUAAGGAGCGUACAUAUCGUCAUAUAUGAGAGUUACAUGCCCAAUCCAGGUUACCCUGGAUUAUAAUUGGAGACUUUAAGGAAAUUUUAUGCUUUGGGGGACUUAGGGUAUGUUGGUGAUAAGUUCACUUGGUUCCGCGCGGUGGACUGAAAGAGAGGCUAGACCGUGCAGUUACAAAUGCUGAUUGGAUGGCUAUGCACUCUCACGCUACCUUGUGUAAUCUAGAGAUGGGGAAAUCUGACCAUCGGCCUAUUCUUCUAGAUACUGAGGACUUAGCGGGUGUGGAAGAGAGAAAGCCCAAGUAUGAUCGCAGAUUUGAGGCAAGCUGGCUUGAAGAAGAGCGUGGAAGAGAUAGUCAAGACAGCUUGGCAAAAAGUUGUACACAGAGGCUAGCUUAUGCCCGACUGUCAAAGAUAAAAUGGAUUCUGUACAUCGUGAUCUUCAUAAUUGGGAUUGCCGGGUUCUGAAAGGGACUCGUUUCCGGGUAAGGAAGGCCCAGCAGGAGCUGGAGGUUCUUAUGCGAGCUCCCUACACAGAUGAUGUCCGAGCAAAAUAGAACGAUCUCGCUGUGCUGAUUGAGAACUUGCUCGACCAAGAAGAAAUUGUUUGGGCNNNNNNNNNNNNNNNNNNNNNNNNNNNNNNNNNNNNNNNNNNNNNNNNNNNNNNNNNNNNNNNNNNNNNNNNNNNNNNNNNNNNNNNNNNNNNNNNNNNNNNNNNNNNNNNNNNNNNNNNNNNNNNNNNNNNNNNNNNNNNNNNNNNNNNNNNNNNNNNNNNNNNNNNNNNNNNNNNNNNNNNNNNNNNNNNNNNNNNNNNNNNNNNNNNNNNNNNNNNNNNNNNNNNNNNNNNNNNNNNNNNNNNNAAACUUGAUUAAGAAAUUGAGAAACGAUAAUAAUGGAUGGGUCGAAGGAAAUGAUAACCUCAACCCCAUAAUUUGUGAGUACUUUGACAAUCUUUUUAAAUCAGAUGUUGCUGACUAUGACCAGGAUCUUGUGCAUACAGUGAAGCCGCGUGUUACGGCAGAGAUGAAUAGGUUUCUUGUGGCGCCAUACACUCGAGAGGAUGUUCGGAAGGCCCUUGUAACACCCGCACCUAGUCCAGAUUGGGCCAUAGGCUGUUGGGCCGUGGGUCAUAUGGACUUUGGGCCAGUAGGCCUAACCUGCAGCUACAAAAGAUAGAGGUCGACAACGAGAAAGGGGAUCGAACAGAAUAGAAUUGGCUUGGCCUUCUUCCUCCUCCAGCUCCUCCCUUCCCUCGUACCAGAUGAGUGUAUCCCCUCUCCCUGAUUCUCUCUUGCUGCCUACCUUAAUUCUAUGCUCUUCCCAUCCUUGAUUCUCUUCUCUGGAUUGUAGUUCCGUUGUGAACCUUUGGUUUGGUGAUUUAAUUCAUACACGAGGAACACUUGUAUCCAUGGAUUUGGUGUUGUUCGAUAUCGAUUUAUCACCUCCUGAUCUAGGGGCGUGACAGCCCUCUUCCAAAUCGGUGAUUUGAAGGCGCCGGGGCCUGACGGCCUACAUGUAGUGUUCUUCAAGAGGUUUUGGCACAUUCUUGACGAUGAGUUAACAGAUGAAGUUUUGGAUGCAAUAAACAACCGGAAAAUACCUGAUGGAUGGAACCAAACUAAUAUUGUGCUUAUCCCUAGGCUUGGGAACGGUGUGACGACGGACAUGCCUCGCUCGGGGAACGGCUGUGCACUCCGGCCUUGUGUCGGCGCCAGAUGACGACAGCGAUCCAUGACCCCAGUCCGCAUCAUGCCCUUAAACGUGUCCAGGUUGCACGCUGCUGCGCGGUGGAUGACGGCCGCGAUCUGGGGUCGGCGGCAGCUGAACCAACGGGACGGAGCGCGGGAGCUCUGAGCCCCAUCCACUAUUGACGUAGAAGCCAAGGAGACGGGGCGGGUGGAAGCUCACGGAAAGAGAUGAGGAAGGCUGGUUUGGAGCCACGCGUGCAGAUGAGGGCGGCACGGACAAGGAAGCGGUGGGAAAGCCAACACGGAGGAGUAUCUCGAUGAGGAGAUCGUCGCCGACUCGCCGUCGAUGAGGAGUGGCGGCUGCUGCGUCUCGCCUUCCAUAUUGGCAAAGCUGAUCGAGACAUGGAGGCAGGUUUUUGUUUUUGUUUUUGAAGGGUGGACUCGAAGCACAAACUGGAUGCCUCGUAUACAUGGGCCCGCCUUGGUAAUUACGGCCCGUUCAGGUUAAUCUAUCCAUAAAUGGGCUGUCUAAAAAAACACUUUUUUUUUGCGGGGACCUAAAAAAAACACUUUGCCAAGGCAGCUUAACAUCACAUGGAUCAUUUUAAAUUCAAGAAACCCAUUUUAAAUUAGGAAAUUAAUAUUUUUAAGACACAAUUACCAUUUAAUACACUAUGAGCUUUUUAAAAUACAUGGUGAAUAUAUUUGUAAAUACACAAUGUAACUAUUUGAAAAUAACGAUGAACAUAUUCUUAAUACAUGAUAAAUAUUUCUCUAGUACAAGGUGACUUUUUUUUUUGAGGGAAACAGCAGGACUCUGCUGCGUAUUCUUUAUUGAAAAAUGAAUGAUACAAAAGAAGGUCCUCGAGAAACAAACAAGAACGGAAAAAGAGCUAAAAGAAGACAAUGCACCGGCUGGGAGUCGAACGCAAGACCUCCUGCUUGCAGCGUUUGAACCAGUUGACUAAACAAUACAUGAUGAACAUCGUAUGAAUACAUGUUGAACAUUUUUUAAUACACAACAUAUAUUUUCUAAAAUCAGAUGAACAUUUUUAUCAUAUAUGAUGUACCUUUUUAUACAUAAAGUAUUUUUUAAAAACAUGAAACAUUUCAAAAUUGCAUGAUGAAUAUUUUAAAUACAUGAUGAACAUUUCUUAAGUACUUGAUGAACUAGUUGAGUAAACAAUACUGCAAGGGGAGAGAUGACACCGAGAGGCUGCCGCAUAGGAGUGGGGGCAAUGGAUAUUGGAGGGGUUUCUUUGGGGUGACCCUGUCGCAUAGCCGAGACGGCCGGUUUGACGAUGGCCGAUGCAGAACAUCCUCUUGUGCAUGGGAGGCACUUGGGUAGGAGGCGGUGGUGCGGUACAGACCCAAGAGAACAAGAUGAGGAUGAAGCGGCGGCACGACACCCCCCAAAUCGACUCCUGUUGAAAAUCCUCAAGUCAGAAUGAGAGGACACAGCAGAAAGCUCUUUUUACCGGUGUAGGGAGCUACCGGCGAAUCAUCCACCGUUCACAUGCGCAGUGAUUCGUGCUAUAGGGAGCCCAUAGACAAUGUAUAGAUGUGUAUAAUAACAACCCAUCUCUUGUAUCUUAAUUAAUAGUCAAAUCAAUUCCAGAUGAAAGGGGCCCAUGUCAACAAUAAAGUUGUACUUGACGCAUGCAUGGUCCAUUCUCUCUCCUCAUUCUCACGUACAGAAGAUGCAUCACAUGCCAGACUAAUUCAUGCCCUUUAUUUUCUCUUUGGCAAUUUCAUUCAUUCAUAUAUUUUAAACCGCAACUUUAUUUUUGAAACUUUUUAUAUAUUUGAACUCCUGAUGCCAAGACCUUCAGAACAAGAUUAAUCUUGAAAACAUUCAAACAUCUUGUAAUUUCAACGUUUCAAAUGAGUGAAACAUGUUUUGUGGAAUACACGUAAUAAGUAUUUGAGCAAAACCAAAAUUUUCAAAUGAGUACAUUCUGUUUUCGUGCAUAUGAAACAAAUUUCAUUGUGAAAUAUGUUUAACUUGUAAUUUAGAAAAAUGUGAAACUAGUUAUUUUAAAACAUGCGAGACAUAUUAUUUCAAUCUUUUUAAUAAAUGAGAGAAAUCUAUUUUAUGAAGCGAGUGAAAUUAUUUUUUAUUUCAUUUAAAUGUCACUUAUUUCAAGUUAAAAUUUAUAUUUCAAAGGUUUGAAACUAACUUUUGAGUUGAUUGAAAUACAUUUGAAUAUAUUUCAUUGUUUUCGCAAGACAAAUAUUUAAAUUUAUCCGCGUUGGCAUUUUAGGUGCGGGCGUGCCAGUAUACAAGUGUAUACAAAUAAAAAAUAAAAUAAACACACAAAAUGAUGCGGAGAAAACUUGUAAAUCUUUAUUGCUGAAGAUAUACAAAUCUCAUUUUACAUGCUCUUGGUACAGCAUCUGACAUACAAAAGACAAUUGCAUAAUUCUCGACUCCUAGGGCCUCGAAGGGAUCCCUAGUUAAUUACAUUCAUAGCAUAUCUAUGAAAGACCUCCGAUUAAACUGCCUCAAACGGUCAUCAUCAUUAUCAACCUCAUGGCUUCUGUCUCCAAGGCAAAAAGAACAUGCAAGUGCUCCAAGACAAAUAAUAAACUCGCCAUGCCAAAACUUAUGGAUUCAUGCAUCAACCAAACAUGGGAUGUAGAUCAAGUCUCACGGAUAAAAUUAAAUGGAUAGUUCGGCCUCGUCGGUCACGAACAUCAUGUAUCCCGCCUCGUCGGUCAGGAAGUGUAUGUGAGUUCCGGCCUCGUCGGUCACGGAAGAAAGUGUACUGAGCGUGGACUUGAAGAUGAACCCUCGUUUGUUUGAGAAACAUGAUUCUGCAAAAUUUCGUCAAUGGCGUCUUGUUUAUUCCGGUGUAGAUGGCCACAUCUUUAUUAAUAUUGGAUUAUCUCAUGAUGAGAAAUCAUCCUUUGUAUGUCACGUGAUCUCCUUGACUCUGUGCUCUAAAUGUACAUAUACUGAACCAUGCAUGAUGUUGGCUUUUGUGCAGCUAUAUUUCUUUCCCUUGUAACUCCACACCUAUAUACAGUUUUGUCUGUCAACAUGAAUCCAUAGCCUUCACUGAUGGAUAAACCCAAAAUGCAUGAAAAUCACUUGGCCAUGAAAUGUCUGCGGCGACGAUUGAAACGUCAGGUAGAGCUGCGAGACGUUAUAACAUUCCUUUUUCUUUUUCCAUAUCAAACCGUAACACAUCCGUGGCGACGAUUUGAUCGCCAUGUAGAGCCACAGGAUGCAAUGCCGCUUUUUUCCUCAUGUCAGACCGUGAAACACCUAUGGCGGCGAUUAGAUCGCCAUGUAGAGCCACUAGAUGCCACCAAACUCUUUUGUAGAUCGGGCCAUGGAACGUCCGCGGCGACGAUUAGAUCGCCAUGUAGAGCCGCGGGACACCUUUGAAUUUUUUUAUAGAUCAAACAAUGGAACGUCCGCGGCGACGAUUAGAUCGCCAUGUAGAGCCGCGAGACGCCAUAAAAUUCUUUUUCUAGAUCGAGCAAUGAAACAUCCACGGCGACGAUUAGAUCGCCAUGUAGAGCCGCAAGACGCCGCAAAAGAAUGAACAAUGAGAACAAAAGAAAUAAAGGAAAUAAGUGAUCAUAUGCAACCUUCAUAUGAUUUACUCACCAUAUGGCUGUGCCAUCGACGCCGGUCACGGAGGGGAACGCCAGACAAAGAAAUGGAGAUGUGUGUAUAUGGANNNNNNNNNNNNNNNNNNNNNNNNNNNNNNNNNNNNNNNNNNNNNNNNNNNNNNNNNNNNNNNNNNNNNNNNNNNNNNNNNNNNNNNNNNNNNNNNNNNNNNNNNNNNNNNNNNNNNNNNNNNNNNNNNNNNNNNNNNNNNNNNNNNNNNNNNNNNNNNNNNNNNNNNNNNNNNNNNNNNNNNNNNNNNNNNNNNNNNNNNNNNNNNNNNNNNNNNNNNNNNNNNNNNNNNNNNNNNNNNNNNNNNNNNNNNNNNNNNNNNNNNNNNNNNNNNNNNNNNNNNNNNNUUUAUAGCAUCGUCUCCACCGGCUAGCUAUGCGAAUAGAUAGGAAGAUAAGCACGAGAGAUUAGCGUCGUCGCCGCUGCCAUUAGUAACAAUUAAACAAAUCUUAUCUCUAAUCUCUCGGCGUUGUUGAACUAAAAAGCAACAAACUCCUUGGCCAAUACUUAUCUCUUGGUGGAUUUAUUCAAGCCCAACGGAUCGAUUUUCUCUAUCACUAGCGACCACGGACGUUUUGUACCAACAUCAACACGUCCAACUAGCAGCAGGCCUGUAUAAGAUUUUACUACUUCAACACACCAAACGUUUGCCUGGAUAGUUGUUGACCGGUUGAACCGUGCAUGCACACACGAUUUAUUCCAUUAGCAAACUGGUUGAUCGGCCACUACUAAAUCCUUUUGAUCAACCAAAUGCAUGCGUUAACGUGACUAGGCCUGAAAAUUCAUAACCAUAAUAUGUUUUCCCCUUUGAAGAUCACCAACUAUUUAUUUAUGAGAGAAAUUUGAUUUUUUUUAUCAUCAAUUAUAUACUCAUUGACAUGAUCUGACGAGGGUCUGCUCAUACCAGAUAAUCAAAUAUAUAUGUGCAUCACAUGGCAAAAAUGGAGUCAAACAUUCAUAAAUACAAAGUGGAAUUAGUUUUUGAGAUAUAUUUUGUAACGAGUGAAAUCAGAUUUACGAAAUGAGUUAUUUCAAUUAACUGAAAUAGGUCUUUUGAAUUCAAUGAAACCAAUUUUAUGAAAUAGAUUGUUCCAAUGUGUGAAAUUGAUUAUGUUCGUGAAGCUGCUUACUCCUGAUUGUGAAACUGAUAUUUAGGGAAUAUAAUUGCAAGUGAAAUAUCAAACUAUAAAAUUUAAAUAUGCAUGCAUUAUUUUAAAGCGGUGAAAUCUGUAAUAUAAAAUGAGUGAAUCAGUUUUCGAAAUGAAUGGAAUCAUGUUUCUGAAACGGAUGAAAUAUGUUUUUUUAAUGUGUGAAAUCUGUCUUUUCAAAUGAGUGAAUUCAUAUUUUUUAAAUAAGUGAAUUUUUAUUUUGAAUCAACUAAAAAAGAUGAGUGAAAUAUGCUUUUCAAUAUGAGUGAAAUAUGUUUUUCAAUUUGAGUGAAAUAUGUUUUUAAAAAUCAGCUAAAUUAAAGCUAAUUCGAAUGUAUCCAUAAUUGAUCUUGUUCUGAAGCUCUUCUUGCUAGGAAUUCAAAUAUAUAUAAAAAUUCAAAAUAGGAGUUCUCAUUAAAAAGAUAUCCAUGAUCCAAAAUUUCACAAUGAAAUUAAAUGGAAGUAUUUUGAUGGAGAGAGAGGGAAUAUUUAACUUGCAUGCAACUGGUCUUGUCGUACAUUUUUUCUCUCUCCUGACAAAAGCUGACAAGUGCAUGCAAAUGUUCACAUGUAUUCCUGUGUAUUCUACCCAUGUCUUUUAUACAAUAAAAAGGGGCACGAAUCUCCAAAACAGCAGCAAUGGUGGAUGUUGCUCCGGUAGGUACCGGCUCCGGUAAAAAAAACUUAGUCGGAGGACACAGGGCGAGCUGCAUUUGAACAACUUGAGAAAUCGGUUACGUUUCCCCCUCGCCGGGACCGGACCCUUACAGUCGAGGCCCACUACGGGAAAAAAUGCUGAACUUCUCCCAGGUUUCCAUUUCCUGGGAGCUUAGAAACUGUAAUGAUUCUGCUACGAUCAAAUAUAAGAAGCAUAGAUGCUGGUAUGAACUCUCGGUUCAAAAAAAUCAACUCUACCACAGACAUUUUUUCGCGAAUAUGCAAAUAAUUACGUACCAUUCCAUUGAUAGGUAGGAGAGAAUUGCUACAGCAUAGAGGAGAGGGGGGGUCACACCAACAGGCAACACAUCCAAAAACUCACCUAGCCCGAACUCUUUCCAAAGACAACGAAGAGAAGGGACACGGGGCACGCAGACCAACGCACUAAACCUCCGUCUCGCCGCCACCACUCCAUCACAGACCGAAUCAACAUACCCCAACCUUAUGCACCUAGGAGAUGGCAAGCGGGAUGCAGGACCAGUCCGUGCCGGAGGAGGAAAGCCUAUAGAAGGCACAAUUUUGAUUUUAUCGGUUUCAAUGUUCUCAAAUAACUACACCUUGCUAAAAAAAACUGCUCCCAGUAUUAUAUUGGCUUUUUUGUGAGGGUGAUAUUAUAUUGUUAACUGUUAAUGGAAGUUUGACUUAAACGUGUUCUGGUCUAUCUAGGAUUAGAGGUGAGGAUGGUGAUGUGUCAUGCACUCGGAUCAGCAUCCUUCAUCAAUAACUGUCUAGCUGCUUCUGCUUGUCUUCCUUGCAUCUUGGUAUGGGCGAUCCAAAUACUGUCAACUCUGACCAUUUGAUAGACGCCACUCUGAAAAACAAUUUAUGGAAAAAUUACGCUGUAAAUAAUUGUUAAUUCAAUAUACAGGCCACGGCAGAAAUGGCAUCUAUUGAAAUAUUCCACUGUUGGCAAGGCAAUGGUUAAAAGUUUCUUUCUAAGCGAUUUUCUUUAAUAUGUGGCCUCUAUUUUUUUCUUUUGUUUCUCCCUCUCAUCAGUCAUCACUCUGAUGAACAAGGUAUGCAUCAUGAGAACUUCAAUCAAUGGUUAAGUUUCCAGAGGAAUUUUUCAAGCAAUGAUUUGAUCUUGUGGUAUUUUGUGUCGUAGGAUCAAUAUUCUAAAGGAAAAUGGGUAGGAUUAACCGAGACAAAUCCUCGGUUGUCACCCCGCAAUAAUUUGGCCGAUCAAAUAAUGGGCACCAUCAUUAGUUGCAAGAAAAAUUGAUGCAAAAUCGGAAAUGCACAUUCUUGUCGCUGACAAGGAGGAGCUAAAUCAAGCAUGCACGUAAAGCGGCAGAAUUCAGAUGCAAGUGUUGAGCGAUGGUUUAACUGAAUUAGGAUGUACUGAACUACUUAUGCUGCAACCAGUAGCACUAGUCUGUAGCAGAGUGGAGACUAAGCAGGUGCAGCUCACUCAGUACUGGUCAUCCUUGAUAGCACCAGAGUCUACCACUGGCAUACAUAAAUACCAUCCAACAACUCCCUCGUACAUAUAUGCUUGUCUCCAGAUGGCAUUUCUGUUCAAAGUAAAAAAGGGAGGAGAAAAUAACAGAUUAAAUAUCAGCCAGGAACUCAAGAUGGAUGUAAUUAGUUACAAAUAAAUGGAUAGAUAAUUCGACAAGACGAGUAGUUGUAUAACCACAAUCCAAUGUUACGAGGCACUGAAGAAGAAAAAUAAAAACUACAAUUUUUCUAUCAUCAAUAGACUAAAUUAUCAGAUACCCCGAAAGUAUAAAAAAAAUCGUGUACCUCCUUAGAUUGGAUUGUACAUACACAGAUACACUUGAAUUUUUAGUGGACAACUAAUCUUCAUUGUGCUACAUCUGAACUGGGAAACAUGCACCAACCCAAAGUGUUAAUACUACAAGCCCACAACAUACGACUACACAAUCCAAAAGCUGAAUUCUGUGCGUGCAAUAGCAUGAUGCUUCAGUAUACUGAGAUGAAAAAUAGACUACAUACUACAACAACUUUCUAAAAAGGAGUAUUGACGAUUUUAUAAAGUGUAGCUUGAGUCGAGGUUCACAGUUCUAAGGUAGCUUACUCGUAAUGAAGGUUUUCUUUUUGAGGAAUGAGAGUUCAAUAAUAAAAUAUGGCUACUGAAGAAAUGGAGGUGGAGGACAUAAAAAUUCCAUUCUUCCAAGUCCUGAGUCCUAACCCCUGCAUCUUUAAUCUUUCACAUACACAAAACCAAAUUGUAGCGCUUACAAAUCAUGUUACAGGUACCAAAAACAUCUCAAAUGCCGCAUAACAAGUAUUCCUAUUUCCUACAAAUGGCCUUAACAAAAUCAAUCAUGUACCUACCACCAUUCAGUAGCUACACUAAACAGUGUGGUGGGUUAAUGAACUAUUAACAAAAAAAUGGACUGCAUGAGUUGCAACGCAGAUUGUUUCCACAACUAACUUAUUGUGAUGAUGUAUUGAUCCAAGCUACAUAUUUGAUAUUCUCAGUUUUGAAACAUAUGUCCUCGCAACAAAAAAGUUGAAAGCACGUUGUAAAAGAAGAAACAAAAAAUAGAGUGUGAUUAACACGAUGCACAUUCCAAGUCUUUGUGAAUUCAACCAAGGUGUAGGGGGCAAACCUUGCAGAGCCGUUCUUUAGCGCAGGGAAUACGGGUGGCCAGGGCAUCAUAAAAGGAUGGAUAUAACCCAAACUACUCCGAUCCUCAUUUGCCAACUCAUACACUCUACGUAGUGUCCUGCACUUGACAUCCAAGUAUAGUAUGGACCGACCCAUCUCCAAUAACACAAAUUCCACAUUGUCCCCCACCAUGCUUAUUUGUGGAAGAUAAUUGCAGUCUGACAUACCCAAACUAGCACACAUGUCAUGCAAACAUAUGUUGUUCAAAGGCGACCAGGUGCCCCCCUUGUGGAACCAGAUGCGAAGUUGAAGCCCCUUGAGAUGGAGGAGGUACACACUGGUGGCAUCGUUGGCCCUUGACAACAUGGUGCUUCCCUCGCAAAGCUCCACCCCUUUGGGCAGCCGAAUUGUGGAGAAACUGGAGGCUGUCAAAUCCAACACAGUAAUAUCGGUCUGACCAGCUGCCAUAUAGAUUUUAUCUUCGACAAGCACAACUUGUUGUGAUGGUGGGCGAGGGAUCUGGUCUAUGGCCAAAUUAUGUAUCAACCAGGCAUCGUCUUGCAACAUAUACGGAACAUGCAUAGUAUACUUUCCAUCCAUGGUAGAAUGCAUCAUCAAAUACCAGUAAGACAACAAGAGACCUUCUUCUUCUUCUUCUUCUUUGGAGAGGGUUGCCGAGUAAGUAUAGGAACAGCCAUCCGGCAGUAUGGGGAGUGGGCGCGGUGGGAACAUGGUCAUGCACAUCGUCUCAGGAGGACACAGCAUGUUGUACACUCCCAAUCUAUCAUGUUCGCUGAGAACGAUGCGGCCGUUCCGGCAGCCAAAGAUAUAGUUCGGCACCCAUAGUGCCCUCUGGUAGGCGUCGAAGUUGGAGCUUAUUCGGCGUACGACGGCGGCGAGCUCUUGAGGCUGAGGCAGCAUCGGCACGAAGUGUGUGGUCUGCACUGAACAGUCGUCGCCCAAGAAGUAGAAUCCGAGGAGGCGGGAUGGGUGGCGGUCGCGGCAACGGCGGAGGAACCUGCGAUCGGAUGCGUGGAGGUACCAGCUCCUGCAGACGGCCGCAGCGCGAACGAGGGUGGUAGGGAAGCCAACGCGGACGAGGAUCUCGAUGAGGAGGUCGUCGUCGCCGAGCACCCUCGAUGCGGCGUCCUCCAUGGCCGCCGCCGGCGGCCGCGACUCGCCGUCCAUUGUGGAGCUAGUUGGGGUUUCCGUGCGUCUGAGACUUGGGCGCUGGGGGCACGAAAAGAAAAUAAGGCCGAGCUAAUAAGAAGGGCCCAGUACGUCUCUGUUCAUAAACAUAUACAGUAUUAGGGUUGUCCAAAAAUAAUAAUAAUACAGUAUUAGGUUGCCUAAAAAAAAUACGGUAUUAGGUAUAUGUAUUAGGUUUCACUGAAAAAAGGUAUAUGUAUUAGGUGCCUAAGAAACAGUAUUAGGAAGAUAAUUAAGUCUGACUACUUGGGUUAAUGAAAAAAAUAUGAAAUUUCACACGAAUAUAGUGACAUGGAUGUUCCAUGUUUAAAAACCACAUUUCAAAUAAAAUGGGAGAACCGUAGCUAUCAUCUCAGUUUCAUUAAAACUAUGAAUAUCAUCCCUGUCAAAACAUUAAGUAUCAACUUAUCCCGAUGGUGUUCUAGGAUUAGUUUUUUAUGAGGAGAAGGGGUAGGAUUAUUUUCCCAUUAAUAAUAGUUUGAGUGCUCAUGAAUAUUCAAUUCUGCAUCCGAGCUCAUCUGAUCUCGGUGAAUAGUAAAAAUAUAAUAAAAUUAGUAGAAAAAUUCAAAAUAAUCUGAUUUUUUUUUGGCAUGGAAGAUGUUCGAAUGCGUGAUGUCUAGGCAAAAUUUAAUCGUGUUUGAAAAUGUUCUAGUAUUUUUUUACUGUUCACACAAGGGAGCAGAUGAGCUUAGGAGCCAUUUCGCCCCGUCCAACUGAUAAGACCUUUAGUGCCAUAAUAAAAAUUAAUGUGGAAUCAAAAUGCAUGUUCAGAGAUGGGCGUCUUAACUGAAACUGGCUCUAUUAGGUGUCUUAACCAAUCGUCCAAAUCAAGCAAGGGGAAGAAAAUAUGACUCAGCAUGGUGCUCAAAUAAACUUUGCAACAUGACAAUAAAAGAAAAAUAUGGGAAAUAGUCUCACUAGCCCCACCAACAACACAUUCCUUGGUACCAACUCAUCUUCUAUGCAAAAGAUUUAGGACACUACUUUUAACCACUAACCACAUUAAAAAACUUUCAUGUUUCGAUGCAUUCACUGUUAUCUAGUAACUAGUUGCAUUUAUCGGGAUUAUCAGACAAAAUCACAUUACAACAGACUAACAGAUCCGUUAAAGUUCUCUGCAUUGAAGAAACUGUUCGUGCAAAUUUCCAUUCAGAUUCAGACUCCGGUAACCUUUAGUAAGAAGUUCAUUUACAGUGAUGUCUUGACCAAGAGCAAUACAGUACAACUUAGCAAGUAAUGCUUCCCUUCCAAAAUAAGUGUCUCAACCUUAGUACAACUUUGUACUAGAGUUAGUACAAAGUUGAGACACUUAUUUUGAACGGAGGGAGUAUAAUACUAAAAGCUACAUCCCCACCAAGGUUCUUUCCGCAAACCUAGUCCUUUUAUCACCAUCUGCAAUUCUAGUACAGAAUUUUGCAAACAAAAUUUAAACCUGAAAUGUCCAUUGCAGAAAUGUGGCUGGCCCUGUUUGUCACAACAUUGCCCUGUUCAUCCCUCCCUACCUUAUACAAGUAAAUACCUGAGCAAACUCAUCAUGUUUCACGACUGCGCCUCCCAAAACAGUUUUCGCUCACUUUUAUGAAAAUUUAUAUUCAAAGUAUUCAUAUGCUAACACAGAUACAAUAAAAACUCUCUCACUCCCUCUAGAUCUUCUUCACACAAGAAAAUCAUAUCAUUGGCAUACUUUAACAUAAUUAGUGCCCCAUCAACUACUCCGUUAAUAGGUCCUCAUGCCUGAGCUUUUCCCACUACAACAAUAAAGCCCUGUUCGGAUCCACUCCACUCCACAGCUACAACUCUCGGAGUGGAAGGAGCGGCAGCGCAAUCGCACAGAGCGGCUCAGACCCAGCUCCUCGCACGGAGUGGAGUUUUGAAAUGGGAGAGGUACCGAACAGGCACUAAGUAUCGAUUUCUCACCAUAUUGAUUUGGUAAACUAAAGGUGUACGCUGGGACCUACUGUCUUUUUUCCAGCCCAUCAUCACACUCUCGAUGGAGAAGAUGAUCUUCUAUGUAUGUAUGGUGCUGCUGUGGUAUAAUUAUUCUUCUAUGAGGAAAUGAAUAUGUUCAUUCAUCAGCAGAGAAAAGUAUCGACCAAAUCAGGAGUGUGUGUUCUGCUCCGUGACAACAAGCAACUAAUAAGCAAGCGUGCAAUGCAGCAAAGUUCAGAUAUAAUGUUGCGCGAGUGUUUAACUGAAUCCCGGCGCGAUGGCCUACUGAUGCUGCGGCCAGGAGCAGAGCAGAGUGGAGUGGAAUCUGCCAAGAAGGCCAUGAGCUUCAGAUUAGCCACUGAGAGUAUAUAGCAGUUGCGGCUUGGAUGCUGAGUAGCCCCGUGAAGGAUAGGGAGCAGGUUCCGAUAGAGGUUAAGGGCCUGUUCGGAGCCCCUCUGCUCCGCGAGGCCGCUGACCGAGUUUUAGUUCGAAAGUGCAGAGCCAGCAAAACGGUACUCCCGAGAUUCUCAAUCUCCGCGGAGCGGGCGGACUGCCGAACAGCGCCUAAGAGUGAUGUACAACAAAUUGCAGUAGAUUGGUGGGCUCCAUUGUUGAGCAGGUUUACUCAAUCAGGUUUGCAGCCAUCUAUACAACACCUACCUAAAGUGGCAGCAUGCAGAGUUGAUGUUGUCAUCUUUUCUCUCCCUCUCCAGUCUUCCCCCAUUUCUUCCUUUCCAAAUACAACAGAGUGGAUAGCAAGCAUAAAUCACGGUACAAGACUAGGGCUAUCAGAGGUAAUAACAAGGUGAAGAAAAUCAUGCAAAAGAUAUAUCAUGAUAAUCAAGCAUAAUAAUAAUAGGUCUUAAACUCCCGAAAGGAUCGAAACCAGGUAGGUAGCUCUAGAUAUUAAAAACAGGUGCUCAUGACUUUCCAGGUUGUCACAUGUCAUCCAUCACAACUAAGGAGAAACUUUGGUUUGCAUUUAUUCUCAACUCAUCUACGAUGGAGCUCCAGUUUAUUGGUAGUGGAGAUAGCUAG
rnacentral:lncRNA from 1 species